UGUAGCAAGGUUAACCGAAUAGGGGAGCCGGAGGGAAACCGAGUCUUAAUUGGGCGUUAAGUUGCAGGGUAUAGACCCGAAACCCGGUGAUCUAGCCAUGGGCAGGUUGAAGGUUGGGUAACACUAACUGGAGGACCGAACCGACUAAUGUUGAAAAAUUAGCGGAUGACCUGUGGCUGGGGGUGAAAGGCCAAUCAAACCGGGAGAUAGCUGGUUCUCCCCGAAAGCUAUUUAGGUAGCGCCUCGUGAAUUCAUCUCCGGGGGUAGAGCACUGUUUCGGCUAGGGGGCCAUCCCGGCUUACCAACCCGAUGCAAACUGCGAAUACCGGAGAAUGUUAUCACGGGAGACACACGGCGGGUGCUAACGUCCGUCGUGAAGAGGGAAACAACCCAGACCGCCAGCUAAGGUCCCAAAGUCAUGGUUAAGUGGGAAACGAUGUGGGAAGGCCCAGACAGCCAGGAUGUUGGCUUAGAAGCAGCCAUCAUUUAAAGAAAGCGUAAUAGCUCACUGGUCGAGUCGGCCUGCGCGGAAGAUGUAACGGGGCUAAACCAUGCACCGAAGCUGCGGCAGCGACGCUGAUGCGUUGUUGGGUAGGGGAGCGUUCUGUAAGCCUGCGAAGGUGGCCUGUGAGGGUUGCUGGAGGUAUCAGAAGUGCGAAUGCUGACAUAAGUAACGAUAAAGCGGGUGAAAAGCCCGCUCGCCGGAAGACCAAGGGUUCCUGUCCAACGUUAAUCGGGGCAGGGUGAGUCGACCCCUAAGGCGAGGCCGAAAGGCGUAGUCGAUGGGAAACGGGUUAAUAUUCCCGUACUUGGUGUUACUGCGAAGGGGGGACGGAGAAGGCUAUGUUGGCCGGGCGACGGUU
rnacentral:rRNA from 2 species